AGGAAGGAGAAGUCGUAACAAGGUCUCCGUAGGUGAACCUGCGAAAGGAUCUUUG
rnacentral:rRNA from 1 species